rnacentral:rRNA from 1 species
CUCAUUAAAUCAGUUAUAGUUUAUUUGAUGGUCUCUUUUGUCUUUUUUUACCUACUUGGAUAACCGUGGUAAUUCUAGAGCUAAUACAUGCGCAAGGUCCCGAGCGCGGGGGGCGGGGCUUCACGGCCCUGUCCUCGCAUGCGCAGAGGGAUGUAUUUAUUAGGUUAAACAACCAGCAUUUUUUCAUUUCUGGUGAUUCAUAGUAACUCUUUCGGAUCGCAUUCAUG